rnacentral:rRNA from 1 species
AACGAACGCUGGCGGCAUGCCUAACACAUGCAAGUCGAACGAGACCUUCGGGUCUAGUGGCGCACGGGUGCGUAACGCGUGGGAACCUGCCCUUAGGUUCGGAAUAACUCCCCGAAAGGGGUGCUAAUACCGGAUAAUGUCUUCGGACCAAAGAUUUAUCGCCUUUGGUUGGGCCCGCGUUGGAUUAGCUAGUUGGUAGGGUAAAAGCCUACCAAGGCGACGAUCCAUAGCUGGUCUGAGAGGAUGAUCAGCCACACUGGGACUGAGACACGGCCCAGACUCCUACGGGAGGCAGCAGUGGGGAAUCUUGGACAAUGGGCGAAAGCCUGAUCCAGCAAUGCCGCGUGAGUGAUGAAGGCCUUAGGGUUGUAAAGCUCUUUUACCCGGGAUGAUAAUGACAGUACCGGGAGAAUAAGCUCCGGCUAACUCCGUG